rnacentral:rRNA from 1 species
AUUGAACGCUGGCGGCAGGCCUAACACAUGCAAGUCGAGCGAGCGGCGGACGGGUGAGUAAUGUAUGGGGACUGCCCGAUAGAGGGGGAUAACUACUGGAAACGGUAGCUAAUACCGCAUACUAUCGGAUAACCCAUAUGGGAUUAGCUAGUAGGUGAGGUAAUGGCUCACCUAGGCGACGAUCCCUAGCUGGUCUGAGAGGAUGAUCAGCCAAACUGGGACUGAGACACGGCCCAGACUCGUACGGAGGCAGCAGUGGGGAAUAUUGCACAAUGGGCGAAAGCCGGAUGCAGCCAUGCCGCGGGUAUGAAGAAGGCCUUAGGGUUGUAAAGUACUUUCAGUCGGGAGGCGUUAUCUAAAGAAGAAGCACUGGCUACCUCCGUGCCAGCAGCCGCGGUAAUUC